rnacentral:rRNA from 1 species
UACGUAGGGUGCAAGCGUUGUCCGGAAUUAUUGGGCGUAAAGAGCUCGUAGGCGGUCUGUCACGUCGGCUGUGAAAACCCGAGGCUCAACCUCGGGCCUGCAGUCGAUACGGGCAAACUAGAGUACUGCAGGGGAGACUGGAAUUCCUGGUGUAGCGGUGAAAUGCGCAGAUAGUCAGGAGGAACACCGGUGGCGAAGGCGGGUCUCCUGGGCAG